AUACUUCUGUCUUUCUGUUAUCUGACGUCUGAGGUAGUCAUGCCCCUUAUUUACUUGAUUUAAUAGACUCUAAGACUAUUGUAUCUCCUAAAUUUGUACUACUUAUGAAAUGAGUUUUUACUGUCAAAUCUGAUCCCCUUUCCAGCAUUUUGUCAUCUAACACAUCCAGUAAAUGAGGGAUAGAUCUGAGCAAGGAAACCUUUCUACUCUUUUUAAUAUGGUGAUUUUUGUUUUUUAAUUGUUAAUGAUUCUUUCAUUCUUCCUGUCUACUUCCAUUUCCUGCACCUGAUCACCUGGUCACGCUCUGACCAUUUCAAGACUUCAAGUAGUUUACAAAGGAGGUCAUGUUAAGGUUAAAAACACCAGAAUCUUGAUAAAAUAGGCUGAGACAUGACAAUACAUCGUUUGGUUUUGUGCAAAGUGUCAAAACGGAAAUAAAAAAGUAAUGAAAUACGUGAAACCAAAUGGAAAUGUAAAACAAUUAGCACUUAUCGUGUUUUGGAAAUGAGCUUUAUUUUCUUUUCUUUUUUUAAUUAUAAAGGCUGGGAAAUUGCUGAUGCAUUCCCCACAAUUUGCAUAUAUUGGGUUUAAAUUUGUCUAAGUUGUUUUUCAACAAAAUGCCUUUUUCUCCUUUUCUUUGUUUUUUCACAUUCUAAAAACCUGUGCUGCUCACUGAGAGCUUCAGAAAUGAAUUUCAAAGGCAGCACAAUAAAAGCUACAAAAUAAUUGAAGUCCCCCGCAGGACGUUCACUGUCAUUCCACUUAAACACACCAAAGGCUCCCGCAGCAAACGGAUUCUGUCAACUUUCUGUUUAUCAGGUUCUGUUGGACCGUGCAUCCACAAUACAAUUAUUAAAGGAAUGGACAAAUGAUUUGUGAUGUUUUAGUUACUUUUACAGACUGAAGGGUCACGCAAGAACCAACAGAUCAGCUGCACAUCUAAGAAAUAAAAAGGCACGGCGGCACAAAUGCUUUCAGCUUCCAUUUGUAAAAUCAUAGAAGAUGGCAAAGGUUACCGUGAACUUGAGACAUCACAUUCAUUUCUCCUCUACAGGACUCCAGACGUGAAAACAAGGUGACCCUCAUCCAAUACAUCAACUGACUGGAUCCAAGCACCAGGACCUUCUAGCCACGGAACCAACUCUCAGAUCACUUAACAGUGGAGUGGAGUUACUUGAAUGCCUGCUAAGCUGUUGAUGCUCUGUAGGCUAACCCCUCUAGAGCCCUACCUCGCCCAAGUAGACAUGGCAGCUUUACAUAAUGGAUGGAGCUGUAGAGAGACAGCCAUCGACAUGGCUCUUACCCUGGAGGGACCAGAGCUCCAAGUCUUUGUUGAAUUUUCUGCAGAGGAACGUCGUGACCUGCAGACCAUUAGUGAUGCCCUUGACAGGCAGUCCAGAGAGUGAAUCUCCAGAGAGCAGCUGAUCGCCAGAAGGCAGCAUGGUGGUGAAGACCUGAUGGAGGGCCAGCUCUACAAUGGCGCGACCAGCCUACCUUUUUCAGGUGCUCUUUUGUUAUGUGUUAAAAUGAAUUGUAGUAAGAACACACGACUCUGUCUUUCUCGAUGCGUGGGGUCAAAUGCAGUAUGAGGCACACGUCGGCUAUAAUUCUUGCAGUUUGUAGGGUGGUGGUGUCACUAGUUUCUAGCUCCUUUACUUUUGCUCCAACAUAAUGUUUUGUCAGAUAUUUAGUGUGUAAUUUUCCUUCAAACAAAUGAUAAUAAUAAUGACUUUCUCUUUUUGUCUUUGGACCUGUUUUUAAAGUCAAGAUUUUUAUUUAAAAUAGAGCAAAAUUUAACUUAAUUGCGUGUUAAAAAAUUUACAUUGUUGAGUACUUCUGUUCAUUAUAUCCUGGGAACAUUUUCAUCCCACAGCUGCACAUAGUUACUGUGUUACUCUUAUUCUUGUCCUUUCUUGUUCUUGAAACAUGUCUGUUUAAGUCACGCACCACACUGGAUGGUCUGACUCGUCUUCUGGCAUGUUGUCAUAUGCUAAGACAAUGGAUGGAUGAUUUUUUUUUUCUUUUCAUUUGAUUAAACACCAGAGAAAUGGCUUUAUAUAUUUUCAACCUACCAUGACCUUAAAGGUCAAAUGCUGUAUUAGCACACAAUCUGUGAGGAUGUUGAAAGUAGUUUGAUGCUAAAUUUAUGUAAUAUAAUGUAAUGCUGUUUUAUUGAAUUACCUGAUCAAAA